rnacentral:rRNA from 1 species
CCUACGGGAGGCAGCAGUGGGGAAUUUUGGACAAUGGGGGCAACCCUGAUCCAGCCAUGCCGCGUGAGUGAAGAAGGCCUUCGGGUUGUAAAGCUCUUUCAGCCGGGAAGAAAUCGUAUGGGUUAAUACCCUGUGCGGAUGACGGUACCGGAAUAAGAAGCACCGGCUAACUACGUGCCAGCAGCCGCGGUAAUACGUAGGGUGCGAGCGUUAAUCGGAAUUACUGGGCGUAAAGCGUGCGCAGGCGGUUUGUUAAGAUAGGCGUGAAAUCCCCGGGCUCAACCUGGGAACUGCGCUUAUGACUGGCAAGCUAGAGUACGGCAGAGGGGGGUGGAAUUCCACGUGUAGCAGUGAAAUGCGUAGAGAUGUGGAGGAACACCAAUGGCGAAGGCAGCCCCCUGGGUCGAUACUGACGCUCAUGCACGAAAGCGUGGGUAGCAAACAGGAUUAGAUACCCUGGUAGUCCACGCCCUAAACGAUGUCAACUAGGUGUUGGGAGGGUAAACCUUUUAGUACCGGAGCUAACGCGUGAAGUUGACCGCCUGGGGAUACGGCCGCAAGGUUAAACNAAAGAUGACGNGNGAGAGNGCGAGACGACGACGAGGAGAG